UAAAUGUUUUUAUAAGUCCAAAGACAGGCACUUUCCCAUUUGCACUUGUGAUUAUCAGGGACUUUUCACUGACAUACUUGUUCAGGGUGUCGGCGGGUCCUUAAAAAGAAAAUUUGGACUAAACCACGAUACGUAUGGAUUAGUUCUCUUUAUGAAGUUUAUGAAGUAUCAAAGUGGAAGUUGCUUGGACCAUCAUUCAAGGGACAGAAAUCUUAUAUUCUAAUAUCUUCAAUUGUGUUUCAAAGAUAACAAAAGUCUUGGCUUGGUAAACAAUGAUGAAAUUUUAAUUUUUGAACUAAGCCUGCAAUAAAAGAAUGUGGCCAUAUGCAUCACCCAAGACGCGUGCUAAUGCCAGGUGUGAACAGAGCCACUGUGUGACUACACAAUCAACUUAGCAGAAUGGUUCCUGAGAGAGAUUUUGUUUCAUUAAUAGUUUUUUUCUUUUUUUUUCUUUUCAAGAAGCCAAGUUCCUGGCUUCUCCCAAGACCUUCAAGGACCCAAUUGACCUCGGAAUCCGCUGUAAAUGAGGAUGAAACCGAUUUCUAAGAAUGGGACAGCGAUAUUGCAUCAAUUGGUCUCCUACUUCAUUUGAUUCCACAAGACUGCAAGGGACCUGGAAAAAUGUCCCCCUACAUCUUCAAAAAGGCACCAACAAGAAGAACAGCUUGAUUGCAUAGAAGAGACCACACAGCCAUACCUGCUCGCUGAUGGGACAACGAGGAACAUCAUUCAUGGAUGCUACACAACUGUCAAAGCUGCCUGUCAUAUUUGAUCAUGUCUAGGUAAAUUUGAUGAUUUUGUGUUUUAUUAACUAUUUUAUGUUUCUGUGCAACACUAAAUGAAUGUGACUGACUAAUUAACCUCUACACAUCUGAUAUAUGUUUUAAAGUUGCCACUU